CGGUGAAGCCGCGAAUAGCUCAUUACAACAGCCACCGUUUACUAGAAUAUAGUUAUCCUACUUGGAUAACUGUGGCAAUUCUAGAGCUAAUACAUGCAAAAAAGCUCUGCCCGCAAGGAACGAGCGCAUUUAUUAGAAUAAAAACCAAUCGGGUUUCGGCCCGUAAUUUGGUGAAUCUGAAUAACUUUGCCAAUCGCACAGUCCUAGUACUGGCGAUGUAUCUUUCAAGUGUCUGCCUUAUCAACUUUCGAUGGUAGGUUAUACGCCUACCAUGGUAGUAACGGGUAACGGAGAAUAAGGGUUCGACUCCGGAGAGGGAGCCUGAGAAACGGCUACCACAUCCAAGGAAGGCAGCAGGCGCGCAAAUUACCCACUUCCAGAACGGAGAGGUAGUGACGAAAAAUAACGAGACAGUCCUCUUCGAGGUCUGUCAUCGGAAUGGGUACAAUUUAAAUCCUUUAACGAGGAUCUAUUGGAGGGCAAGUCUGGUGCCAGCAGCCGCGGUAAUUCCAGCUCCAAU
rnacentral:rRNA from 1 species